AGACACCCCACAGCGUCAGAGCUGCCGCGCUGGAGCAGCCUGGGCUCUGGGCAGGGCAGCUGGGCAGCGCUCCCUGGCAUGGGCUGUCUGCCUCUUUCUGUUUUCGGGGUGCACGGGCUCCUCUCCGGCCCUCCGGGGCUUUUUGUGCGAUGAAUCUGAGUUACAGCAGGGAAUCGAUCCAGGUGAUAAAUGCUGCAUCACUUGAUGAAGUGUGACCAAGGACUACACCCUUCCAGCCCUGAGGGUUUGAAGGUCUCACAGGUCAGCAGUGGUCCCCUCUGCCAGCUGGUGACACUGGGAUCACAAUGGUCCAUGCUCCUCCUUGCUAGCCCAGACCCAACACCAAGGCUGAGAGCCUCCUGGCACACACAGGAAACCACUGUACCAGCUCCCAAGGGCCUGCUAGGAUGGAUCCAUACAUCUAACCUACAGAAAGGGCCAUGCAGAUCCAUACAUCUGGAAUCCACAUUGUGUACAUGGACAAGGUAAAUUGAAAAACAACAUCAUAACUUAUUAUCAAACUAAGAUUAAUAUGCAGGCUGUCUUUUUGAGUCAAGGACAUUUCAAUUUACUCUGAUGCAACAAGCUCAGAUUUUUGUUUUCUCUUUUAAAUAAUGUACAGUGAAAAAAUAGAUACAUAACCAGUAACUACUUUGGCAAACCCUAA